GGGCGGAUACCCAAGCGGUCAACGGGGCCUGACUGUAAAUCAGGUGGCCUUCGGCCUUCGUAGGUUCGAAUCCUACUCCGCCCA
rnacentral:tRNA from 1 species